GGCUGUGCUUGUGGCACAUGAAAGUUCCCAGGCCAGGGACUGAACCCAUGUCAAAGCAGUGACCCAAGUUCUGCAGUGACAACACCAGAUCCUUAACCCACUGUGCCACAAGACAACUCCAGGUCACUUGUUCUUAAAGCUCAGCAUAUGUUCAUUGCAGCGCUAUUCACAAUAGUCAAGACAUGGAAACAACCUAAAUGUCCAUGGACAGAUGAAUGAAUGAAGAUAUGGUUCCUACACACAAAUGGAAUACUACUCAGCCAUAAAAAAGAACAAAACAGGAGUUUUCAUUGUGGCACAGCAGAAAUGAUUCCUACUAGUAACCAUGAGGUUGUGAGUUUGAUUCCUGGCCUCACUCAGUGGGUUAAGGAUCCAUAAUUGCCAUGAACUGUGGUGUAGGCUGGCAGCUACAGCUCCAAUUUGACCCCAGCCCAAGAACCUCCAUAUGCCACACACAUGGCUCUAAAAAAAAAAAAAAAAAGGAGUUCCUGUUGUAGCUCAGUGGUAAGAAACCUGACUAGUAUCCAUGAGGAUGCAGAUUCAAUCCCGGCCCCACUCUGUGGUUUAAGGAUCUGGCUUUGCCAUGAGCUGUGGUGUAGGUCACAGACAUGGCUUAGAUCUGGCAUGGCUGUGGCCGGCAGCUGCAGCUCCAAUGGGACUCCUAGUUUGGGAACUUCCACAUGCCACAUGUGCAGCCAUAAAAAGCAAAAAAAAAAGCCAUUUGCAGCAACGUGGAUGGAAAUAGAGACUCUCAUAUUAAGUAAGUCACAAGGAAAAUAUAUAACACUUAUAUCUGGAAUCUAAUACAUGGCACAAGUGAGCCUGUCUACAGAAAAGGAACAAACUCAUGGGUAUGGAGAACAGACUUGUGGUUGCCGAGGGGAAUGGAGAGGGAGAGGGAGGCACUGGGAGUUUGGGGGGAGUAGACGCAAACUAUUGCCUCUGGAGUGGAUCAGCAACGAGAUCCUGCUGCUCAGCACAGGGAACUCUAUCUCAUCACGUGUGAUGGAACAUGGUGGAGGAUAAUGUGAGAAAAAGAAUGUGUGCCACAUGCAGAAGCCACGUGGAGGGUGCUCCAGCUGACAGCCCAGGUGAGGUCCUACGCCAAGGCCAGCACCAACUGCCAGAUUUGUAGCCUUCCAGAUGAUUCCAGCCCAGCUACUAGCUGACUGCACCUGCACAAAAGACUCCAAGGGAGAGCCCGCUAGCUGAGGAAGCAGGCCCAGAGGGCUGACAAAGCCAUGGCCAUGCAGCCAGUCAGUGGCAGCGCUGGCAUAGGAACCCAGGGUCCUGAACGUCCUGAUGGGAGGAAAGAAGCAGGAGGAAGGUCUCCGCACAGGCCCAGAGGCUCCAUCUGCCACCCCGGGCUCUGCAGCAUAGGAGAUCCCACCACCUUUGCAGCAGCCCCCUCCAAGGGCUCAGAGGAGGAUGGCGACAGCUCUCACGCCCUGUGCUGGGGCUCAGGCCCAGCUCCGGGCCGCUCCACGGGGCUGGCCACUUCCCACCCGAGGCAAUGACCUGCAUUCCCUUUACCCUCGGGGAGACUGACUUUGCUGCUAGCUCACGUCCGGUGCAGUGCUGCGGCUUAGGUAUUCUCUCGCCCAGUCCUCACAGAGCCCUGAGUUAUGUGUCACUAUUAGUGCCGUUUUACAGGUGAGGACACCAGCUCAGGAAGUGAAGCAACUCGUCUGAGGUUUUAUUUUUAUUUUACUUGUCUUUUUGCCAUUUCUUGGGCCGCUCCCGCGGCAUAUGGAGGUUCCCAGGCUAGGGGUCGAAUCGGAGCUGAAGCCACCCGCCUACACCAGAGCCAGAGCAACGCGGGAUCCGAGCCGCGUCUGCAACCUACACCACAGCUCACGGCAACGCCAGAUCCUCAACCCACUGAGCAGGGCCAGGGAUCGAACCCACAACCUCAUGGUUCCCAGUCGGAUGCGUUAACCACUGCGCCACGAUGGGAACUCCCUCCCCUGAGGUUUUGAAGUUGGAUGUAGCAAAGCUGGGAUCUGGCGCCAAGUGAUGGGCGUAGCAGAGAGGCUGAGGGACGUCACCGGGGUCACAGAGCACAUCAGUGAGGACUCAGCCAGAGCACCCUGCCCGAGGUGGUGAUGGGCUGUCUUCUCCUCCCUGGAUGGCUGGAAAUAGAUGAAAAUAGCAAAGAGGUCUCUGCGUCCCCCCUGCCCCGCCCUCCCCUCUACAUUGUCCAUAAAAGCAGGUCUCCCCAUGGUCGCAGCUGGGUGCCUGACCUAAGGGCCGCACCACACAUUCUGCUGCUCUGUGACUCUGGCCAAGAUGCGCCCCCCUCUGGGAUUGCUUCCCCCUGUCUAGACACAUGGGGGAGAGGGAAGGUGAAGGUGGAUUCCAAACUGCCCACCAGGCUCCCCAAGGGAGGUGGGCAAAGAGAGGUCCUGCCCAGAGAUGGUGGAUGGGCAGCUUGACCUUCCUCCCAAGAUUCAGACGCCAGGAUCCAGCCUCCUGGCUUGAGCAGGGAAGCUGGACUCCAGGAACUGCACUUCUGCCAGACACCCACAGGGGGCAGCAGAGGCCCGCGCGGCUGGGGCUGUGGUGCAUGUGGUUUGAAUUUAACUCCAGUCUUGUUUCAUGUGGGUUUUUUCCCUUUCUUCUCCUCUGCCUUCCCACGACCACGCCCCCUCCUUAGUUUCAAGAAGAGGCAGCUGGAUCUUCCAGCCUGGGAAGGAGGAGUUUCUCAACAUCAUGGAUAAUGGCCGGAAGCAGGGGGCUGGGGGGUAGGUGGACAGACAGACCCCUGCAGAUGUGAAAAACAUCUCCUGACGAGCUAACAAGCUCUGAGUUUAUCAUCUCCAGGCCCAAGAGACUAGGACUGGCACCCCCGUUUUACAGACAGAGGAAUCAAAAGGCAGAUCUUCUGGGUCCCACAUCUGAGGGGCAGGGGGCAGGAGUCCCCCUGGGAAUCCGAUGAAGCCUGAAAGUAGGAUUUGCUCAAUCUGGCCACCCUGGCUCCCAGGCCAUGCACCACCCACCCGUGUCCACACUGCUGCUCAGGACCGCGUUCUGGCUGCUGGUCCCAGCCCUGGCUCAGAACUUGUGGAGGAGGUCAGCUUCCUGAGCCCUCCUCUCCCAGCUUCAAACAUCAUUUCAUUCAAAAUGAGUAAGCCUUGCUCGGCACAGAACACUGCACGGGGAAUCAGGCCCUGCGGCCGGGGCUCAGCACCACCAGCUUCCAGCUGCUGCAAACAUCCCCGUCCUCAGCCGCGGGUUUCCUACUUUGAAAACGAUGGGGAGCAUCCACCGCGCAGCAGGUGCCCUGCGCAGGCAGGAGGGCUCCCUCCUCGCCUCGCCUCCACGCUUGUCCAGCGCGCAGGGAGGCCGGGGUGAGGGAGCGUGGGAACGGAAGUGCCUGUUUCCAGCUCCUCCUGCGCCCUCCCUCCUUUCCUUGAACCCAGGCGCAGCUGGGGGAGGGGGGCCUCCACUUGUGUGUUGUCAGGGUGGGAUGGGGUGUCCUGCCUCCAGAGGGGAAGAUGACUCACUGGGCUGGGGGCCAGGCACCCUGGGAAAGGCCAGGCCAAGCUCGGGCCAGGGCCCCAGGGAGCCAGAGGCAGGGAGGAGGGGGCAGGGCUUGCCCGCGCCGUGGACGUGAUCCUGGGCACUCAAAACGCAACCAAAGGAGCCCCUCUUCCCCGCUCGCCACAGCACCGAACUUACUCAGAUCUGCAAAGGCCCAGGCGAGCCUGAGGCACUCUCGGCUCCUGCCAGCCUGACCUCUGUUCUGGGCAUGGCCGCUGCUGGAACAGGCAGAGGCGCUCCCUUCCUCUGGAGCUCUGAGACUUCAGCAGCCGUGCCUAGAACAGAGCAGGCCCACAGCACGCGCGAUUCGUACUCGUGAGUCAGUGGACGGAGAAGGCCAGUGAAAUGCAUGUGCACAGCAAGCUGAAAACGUCCACGUUCACUCCUCCCUGGAGGGGAAGCCAGGGAAGGGACGAGGCUUCUCACAAGGCCUCACCCCCAGGGCAGCAGGCAGUCAGCUGAGGCCAGAACCAGGCCUCCGGGCUCUUCCACAGUGGUGGCAGCAGCGCAGCAGCUCCUGCAAAGGGGCCCAAGCAGCUGGGAGGUGUGUGCACCCCCCCACCACCGCCCUACUGGGGGACGCGCCCAGGAAGGGGGCAAGUUCCAUCCAUCAGGCAGCCACUCUGGCCCAGCAUAAAGUGAACCCUGGUGACCCUGCCCAAGCCAGAGCCCAGGGAAGCCCCGCCCAUCACACCAGACAAGCCUAGGGCAGCCAAGAAGCCCAGGGACAGUGACCAUCCCAGCCUGCAGGGAGCUGUCGCCAGGACUGGGCCCUGCUGGCGGACGUGGUCUCUGCCUUGGCAGACCAGAGACAGCCUCAGCCUCUAGGUCUUGCUGCACUGUAUCAGCAACUGGUGACCAGCCCAAUGCCUGGUCCCUAGCCCUGGUUAUGUGUGUGUGUGUGCGUGUGUGUGUGUGCAGUACACAAGAUUCACAGCCGAAGGCCCGCCGAGCCAGGUCUAGGCCCCAGCUCUUGCAAGGCACCAGGACUAGGACCCCACUACCAGGGAGCUGCCCUGACAGCCCAGAUAUGCCAACCCCCCUCCUUCUCUGAGCUCUUUGGGCUUCAGGGGUGGCAGCUUCGAACCUCAGAGUCUGUCUAGACUUACUAUUGCCAUGAGGACAGUAAGGG
ensembl:lncRNA